UUAUGUACAAUCCUGGAACAAUGCACCAUAUACCAUUAGAAAUCCACAGUUAAGUGCGCUCAGGCUAGAGUAGUACUAGGAUGGGUGACUCCUUGAGAAGUCCUAGUGUUUUACAUGAC
rnacentral:rRNA from 1 species